GACGAACGCUGGCGGCGUGCUUAACACAUGCGAGUCGAACGGAAAGGCCCUGCUUUUGUGGGGUGCUCGAGUGGCGAACGGGUGAGUAACACGUGAGUAACCUGCCCUUGACUUUGGGAUAACUUCAGGAAACUGGGGCUAAUACCGGAUAGGAGCUCCUGCUGCAUGGUGGGGGUUGGAAAGUUUCGGCGGUUGGGGAUGGACUCGCGGCUUAUCAGCUUGUUGGUGGGGUAGUGGCGUACCAAGGCUUUGACGGGUAGCCGGCCUGGGAGGGUGACCGGCCACAUUGGGACUGAGAUACGGCCCAGACUCCUACGGGAGGCAGCAGUGGGGAAUAUUGCACAAUGGGCGGAAGCCUGAUGCAGCAACGCCGCGUGCGGGAUGACGGCCUUCGGGUUGUAAACCGCUUUCGCCUGUGACGAAGCGUGAGUGACGGUAAUGGGUAAAGAAGCACCGGCUAACUACGUG
rnacentral:rRNA from 1 species